rnacentral:rRNA from 1 species
AUUGAACGCUGGCGGCAGGCCUAACACAUGCAAGUCGAACGGUAGCACAGAGAGCUUGCUCUCGGGUGACGAGUGGCGGACGGGUGAGUAACGUCUGGGAAACUGCCCGAUGGAGGGGGAUAACUACUGGAAACGGUAGCUAAUACCGCAUAACGUCGCAAGACCAAAGUGGGGGACCUUCGGGCCUCACACCAUCGGAUGUGCCCAGAUGGGAUUAGCUAGUAGGUGGGGUAAUGGCUCACCUAGGCGACGAUCCCUAGCUGGUCUGAGAGGAUGACCAGCCACACUGGAACUGAGACCCGGUCCAGACCCCUACGGGAGGCAGCAGUGGGGAAUAUUGCACAAUGGGCGCAAGCCUGAUGCAGCCAUGCCGCGUGUAUGAAGAAGGCCUUCGGGUUGUAAAGUACUUUCAGCGGGGAGGAAGGCGGUGAAGUUAAUAGCUUCACCGAUUGACGUUACCCGCAGAAGAAGCACCGGCUAACUCCGUGCCAGCCGCCGCCGUAA